UUACACGAUUUAGUAUAUAUUUCCAUCCCUGCGAGCCCUCCUCAUUCAUUCCCGCCAGCCGUGACCUCAGAGUGACAUCGUGCCUUGAUCUACGUGUCCAGGAAUUCUCUGAAGCUACACCAUGAAGCUGUUUGUCUGCAUGAUGCUGGUGACGAUGGUUGUCAUGGCAACGCUGAUUGACGACUCCGAGGGAUGGAGGCGUCGGCGCAGAAGGGGUCGUCUGGAUGUGGAUGCAGAUGCUGACUCAGAGUUGAGGGAGGUUGUGGAAGAGGCGAGGUCGCUCAGGAACUUGAUGAGGCCAGUGAAGACUUGGAUACACAAGGACUAGAGAACAUGAAAAUGGAGAACAUACUCGAGGAUCAGGAAGAAGGUCAAACGAGAAGGAAUCGCGAGUAAAAAUUUAGUAUAGAGUUGAAACUGAUUUAGAACCAAAGGACGGUUAGUCGUCGAUUUUAUCUUUGUCGGAUUGAAUAUAUUUUGUCUCGUAUUAUUCACGUAACAUCCAAUGUUAUUCAACUGAAAGAGAAUGCCACUUGAGAUGGUUGACUCGCAACUAAAUUUUUAACUCACUCUGAUCAGGAAGUGAAGGGAGAGAAGAUUGAAGGACUCUCGA